rnacentral:lncRNA from 1 species
AAUCGAGAAUGUUAAGGGAACCAUUAUCCUCGAGACCUUCUCCUAAAGACAAUAAUCGAACAUAUAAACACAGGAUUGAAACAAUUCAGGCAAGAAACCAACAUGACAAAAGUGACAACACUAACGAUUUCAGUUAUGGAACAACUGAAGUCACGAAAUUAAUGGAAACGAACUUGUCCGAAAAUAGUAGUAGAUACGAAGUACGAAUCUAAGCAACAACCAAGCGGAAAAGAAAAGAUAACCAAAGGAAAAGAGAGAAAAAGAAGAAAAAGAAAACAAAAGGAAGAAAUAAAAUAAAAUAAUAGGAAGGAAGGAAGAGGCGAAUGUAAUAGCUAGACAUUCAAAUACAUAGAACAUAUAGCCAUAAACAUAGAGAUUUAAUUACGAUGGAGUUCAAC